rnacentral:rRNA from 1 species
UUUNUUAUCAAUAAGCGGAGGAAAAGAAACCAACAGGGAUUGCCUCAGUAACGGCGAGUGAAGCGGCAAAAGCUCAAAUUUGAAAUCCCCCCGGGGAGUUGUAAUUUGAAGAUUGCGUCUUGGAGGCGACCGUGUCUAUGUUCCUUGGAACAGGACGUCACAGAGGGUGAGAAUCCCGUGCGGCACGGCCCCCGGCUCCUUAUAAGGCGCUCUCGACGAGUCGAGUUGUUUGGGAAUGCAGCUCAAAGUGGGUGGUAAAUUCCAUCUAAAGCUAAAUACAGGCGAGAGACCGAUAGCGAACAAGUACAGUGAUGGAAAGAUGAAAAGCACUUUGAAAAGAGAGUGAAACAGCACGUGAAAUUGUUGAAAGGGAAGGGCAUGCCGUCAGAUUGUCAGUGUGGGUAAGAAGCGGGGUACAAAGACUGUGGAACGUGGCCCUCGGGUGUUAUAGCCGCAGUUCAUGCCCCGUCUCUUUCCGAGGCCUGCUUUGAGACACCGACGUAAUGACGGACCUGG